rnacentral:misc_RNA from 1 species
GAUGAAGAACGUAGCGAAAUGCGAUAAUUAAUGUGAAUUGCAGAAUUCCGUGAAUCAUCGAGUUUUUGAACGCAUAUUGCGCCCCUUGGUAUUCCGAGGGGCAUGCCUGUCCGAGCGUCAUUGCAACCCUUCAAGCACGGCUUGUGUGUUGGACGGCCGCCCCAGUGUGGGCGGGUCCCAAAUGCAGUGGCGGCGCCGCGAUCCGGGUGCUCGAGUGCAUGGAAACCACGCGCUCGUUAGGCCCCGUCGGGCGCCGGCCGACCUAAUUAUCUUCGUUCUGGUUGACCUCGAAUCAGGUAGGAAUACCCGCUGAACUUAAGCAUAUCAAUAAGCGGAGGA